rnacentral:rRNA from 1 species
GGCUAAUACCGCAUAACGUCGCAAGACCAAAGAGGGGGACCUUCGGGCCUCUUGCCAUCAGAUGUGCCCAGAUGGGAUUAGCUAGUUGGUGAGGUAACGGCUCACCAAGGCGACGAUCCCUAGCUGGUCUGAGAGGAUGACCAGCCACACUGGAACUGAGACACGGUCCAGACUCCUACGGGAGGCAGCAGUGGGGAAUAUUGCACAAUGGGCGCAAGCCUGAUGCAGCCAUGCCGCGUGUAUGAAGAAGGCCUUCGGGUUGUAAAGUACUUUCAGCGGGGAGGAAGGUGUUGUGGUUAAUAACCGCAGCAAUUGACGUUACCCGCAGAAGAAGCACCGGCUAACUCCGUGCCAGCAGCCGCGGUAAUACGGAGGGUGCAAGCGUUAAUCGGAAUUACUGGGCGUAAAGCGCACGCAGGCGGUCUGUCAAGUCGGAUGUGAAAUCCCCGGGCUCAACCUGGGAACUGCAUUCGAAACUGGCAGGCUUGAGUCUUGUAGAGGGGGGUAGAAUUCCAGGUGUAGCGGUGAAAUGCGUAGAGAUCUGGAGGAAUACCGGUGGCGAAGGCGGCCCCCUGGACAAAGACUGACGCUCAGGUGCGAAAGCGUGGGGAGCAAACAGGAUUAGAUACCCUGGUAGUCCACGCCGUAAACGAUGUCUACUUGGAGGUUGUGCCCUUGAGGCGUGGCUUCCGGAGCUAACGCGUUAAGUAGACCGCCUGGGGAGUACGGCCGCAAGGUUAAAACUCAAAUGAAUUGACGGGGGCCCGCACAAGCGGUGGAGCAUGUGGUUUAAUUCGAUGCAACGCGAAGAACCUUACCUGGUCUUGACAUCCACAGAAGAAUCCAGAGAUGGAUUUGUGCCUUCGGGAACUGUGAGACAGGUGCUGCAUGGCUGUCGUCAGCUCGUGUUGUGAAAUGUUGGGUUAAGUCCCGCAACGAGCGCAACCCUUAUCCUUUGUUGCCAGCGGUCCGGCCGGGAACUC